rnacentral:lncRNA from 1 species
GAGGAGACCCCAAUUAACAGGAAGGAAUGGGAGUUAGGAGGGAUGGAAGAUGGGCCCACCUAGGAGAUGAACACGCUCACCCAUGGAUGAAGGUCAGAGCGGGUUCCUCACAGUGACUCUCCUGAGCCAAGCUAUGGGCAGCUAAAGUUGGUACUGGUCGUCUUUAUCAGACUGAAGUGGCAGGGCUGCCCGGGCUAGACUAGGCCUCACCAGCAACGUGUGGCACCUGUAAUGGUCCAUCACCACCCCCACACCCCACACCUGCUUUUUAAUUGCUCCUAAAAUGUCUACCCCCACAUUCUACUUUUGCUUAUUUACUUGAUUGGAGACAAAGUCCAAUCCUCCUGCCUCAGCCUCCAGAGAGCUGGAAUUACAUGCAUCAAUGUCCACUCCUGGUUUGGCUGUGCCUCUUGUCACAGAUGUCUUUAGAUAUGAGCCUGAAUGCAAACUGCACAGUGACUCUUCACUUCCAGAAAGAUCAUACCCAACUGUCAACCUUACCCUUUCUCCUUUAAAAUCUUCCAACUAAAGUUGCUCUCCUUGGGGGGGGGGGGG